CCAGAGCUGUGUCAGGACGUCCCAUACAGUUCUAAGUCUGAUGUCUGGGCACUGGGAUGCUUGUUGUAUGAGAUCUGUUCUGUCAGACCGCCGUUCUGCUCUAUAAGAUCAUCAGAGGAGAGUACAGCCCUGUUCCCCAGACCUACUCAGACAGCAUCACCUCUCUGGUCCCUCUCUGGUCUUCCUGCCAUCCAGGACCUCUAUAUCAGGUGGUGUCAGAAGAGUAGAGAAGAUAUAGUUAACUCACCAGCUAAACAACUAACCAACUAACCAACCAACCAAGUGCAUCGAUUUAACUCUUGUUCUUUCUUUACUUUUCAAGCACCGUCCACAGUUCCACUGCUUCCACGAGGGAACCAACCAAAACCCCUUCAGAUUUCUGCUUACUUCACUUCAAGGGACCGACAGACCGAGAAAAACAGAGCGAAAGAGAGUAAUAGACAGAGAUCACAGUAUGAAAAGAAUGAAGUCAGCUGUUGUUGUCAUUGUGAUUCUCAACAUGCUGCAUCGCUGUCUGAGCAACAACUUACGCACAGAGAUCCUGAAAGACUUGAGCAACCUCACUCCGGAGAACUUCACUUACGUAAGUAUGCUGUAAUAAGCUUAGUGAUGUUCUUAUCACUGGUAGUUAGUUGUGCCACAAAUAGUACCCUAGUGUCUAUAUACUUUUGACAAAAGAAGUGGACUAUAUUUAAUUUUUUAUUUAUUUUAUUUUACCGUUAUUUUACCAGGUAAGUUGACUGAACACAUUCUCAUUUACAGCAACGACCUGGGGAAUAGUUACAGGGGAGAGGAGGGGGAUGAAUGAGCCAGUUGGGUAAAAGGGUCCCAUUUGGGACAGCCAUUUGGAGUUGAGCUCAAAGUUAAGCUCACUGACAGUAGUUGUCCAUGUAAAGAGUUGGGUAGUGAGUUCCAUACUAUGUGCAUCAUCGUGGCUAGUCACAAACCGCAGGGCAUUGGUUCAACGAGAGAUGUUAUCGAAAGUCAAUACAUACACAGAGACCGUGAGAUGAUUGGUGGAAUUGUAAUAUACUGCCAUUCUGAUUGUAGCCUGUGUAUCUUAUACUGUUUUUCUUCCAUCAUACAGCCAAAGCGAUACCGAGUACCAACAUUACAAAUGCAGGAGAAAGCAUGUGAGUGCCAGGGGAUGUUUGCCACUGAGCUGAAGCAUGUGGUCAACAAGGUGAAGGCCCGGACCGAGGAACACAAACCACUUCUGAACAGACUACAAAAGAACAUCCAGGCUCUGCCUCAGAUCUCUACCCCUGAGGAGGCCAGUAUCUGCCCCAUGAAGAAUAAGCUGCUGCUAACCCGUCCACCGAAGACUAUUGUUCUAAUAGCUUACAGACGUUUCCUCCAGAACCUGAACGAAAAGGAAUGUAAGUGAGAUACUACCGUAGAGAUAAUUCGAUUAUCUCUAUAUUUUAUAGAAUGAUCUUUUCGGGUAAUAUGGCCCAUAAAUAUGCUGCAUCUCUCUUCGGGUAAUAUGGCCCAUAAAUAUGCUGCAUCUCUCUUCGGGUAAUAUGGCCCAUAAAUAUGCUGCAUCUCUCUUUGUGUAAUAUGGCCCAUAAAUAGGCUGCAUCUCUCUUCGUGUAAUAUGGCCCAUAAAUAUGCUGCAUCUCUCUUUGUGUAAUAUGGCCCAUAAAUAGGCUGCAUCUCUCUUUGUGUAAUAUGGCCCAUAAAUAGGCUGCAUCUCUCUUCGUGUAAUAUGGCCCAUAAAUAUGCUGCAUCUCUCUUUGUGUAAUAUGGCCCAUAAAUAGGCUGCAUCUCUCUUUGUGUAAUAUGGCCCAUAAAUAGGCUGCAUCUCUCUUCGUGUAAUAUGGCCCAUAAAUAUGCUGCAUCUCUCUUUGUGACAGAAGUAAUGAUUUAUUUAUAGACCAUUCUCAGGUUUAGGUUGUUCAUGUAUUUUUUGAUGUACUAUACUUAUUGAUUGGAUCACUCUGUUUUUAUUGAAAUAUAUUCAAAUUUGAGUUAUGUAUUUAAACAAACAUUUAUUUGUUAAAUUAUUACUUUUGAAUUAUGUCUUAAAGAUAACAGUCAGUGUUCUUCCCAUGGCUGUUUGUAGUCAGACUAAAAACGUUUGCUUGAUAUACGGUACUAUGUACUUCCAUCAUGAAAAGCAUAAUUGUUCUCAAAUAAGAUCAUUUUAUAUUGAAAUACAAAAUGUUUCACAUGAAUGUACAAAUUUUAUACGUAUUGAUUAUGUAUUUAUUCUAUACUGGUUGAAUGUAAAUGAAUCCUACAUUUUAUACUGUAAAGAACUUACAUCAGUGAUGUGCGAU
ensembl:lncRNA